rnacentral:snRNA from 1 species
GUGCUCACUUUGGCAGCACAUAUACCAAAAUUGGAAUGAUACACAGAAGAUUAGCAUGGCCCUUCCACAAGGAUGACAUGCAAAUUCAAGAAGCGUCCCACAUUUUU